CAUGUUUGCAAAAUAGCACAAGGUGCUGUAAAAUGAAGAUAUAUUGUUAAAUAUCAUGAGAUAGAAAUAAAAGAUGAAUAUCUAGCUGUACCCGUCCCGAGCCACACUACUGCAGCCACGUUGCUGCUGGCAUUUUUGCAAAAUAGCACAAGGUCACAACAAUUGAUGUAACAAAUAUAAUCAAUGGACCAGGC
rnacentral:lncRNA from 1 species